rnacentral:lncRNA from 1 species
AUGCUGUCUUUAGAGCUGCAGCCUGUAAUCUUACACUUUUAAUGUUGUACAAAAGCGAAAAAUAUAAACAAUGUGCAAAAUAUUAGAUACUGAAAACUAAGAGUAAAAGUCUUUAUAUUAUCACCGAAUACAUUUACAAAACGUGAAGGCUUCUAAAAUCAGGGUUCUGACCUCGUUUGUGAUCGUUCAAAAACACUUCCACGUCAAGCAGAUCAGGGUUCUAGGAACUCACGCAGAGUAUCGCGACACUUCACGAGAUCACGCUCUGGAAGCAGGUGAUUUGUUAUUUCAAAGUUUGAAACCUGCAACGAGGAUCUUCAGCGUCAAAUUCUCACCGUUUACAAGGAUUAUGGAUCCUUCCUUCACGGCUCCACAUGACUCCCGGCGUGUCUUCUGGAGGACCGGCGGCCUAUAAAAACCCUCUGAGAAACACCGACUCACUUCUGCGUCUGCAGCAGGAAGGAGCCGGUUCCAGGAUGGUUUUCAGGACUCUGGGCGUGACGUGCGCCGUCUUCUUCGGGGCGUGGGUCCUCUCGAGCGCCAAAGACGCAGCGCCCCCCACCACCACCACCACCAGCGCCUUCUGCAAGAUCAUCUGGUUGAUCGGAGUCCCCUGCUCUGAGGUCAACUCCGCCAUCGUGACUCAGAUCAAAGCCAUGGGUUCAUACACGGUGUGGAAGCGUCUCGUGUGUCAGUCCUGAUGCACGAAUAUCACGUAAACGGAUCUUUUUCUGCGUUCCAGCUCGGCUCCGUCACUUCAAUGGCAGUUCAGGCCAAUCACACUUCAGGAGUCGGCCAGAUCGAGAGCGUCAACUUCACCAUGACGCCCACAUCUGUGAUCCUGGGCUGCCACGUGCAGG